GGGGGUAUAGCUCACUGGUAGAGCAUUUGACUGCAGAUCAAGAGGUCCCCAGUUCAAAUUCUGGG
rnacentral:tRNA from 1 species